UUCAUAGGUCUUAGGGUCAUCAUCAUUAUGAUCAACCUCAUUUGAUAAAUCAUCUUGUACCAAUAAAUUUAAUCUAGUUGGUAUAUGACGUUCUCGUGUAGACCUUCGAAGAGGUAUUUGUACAACCUGUUCACCUUGCAUUGGAUUUAGUUGUUGCUCAAUUUGGUUUGGAACUGGUUCAUUAACCUGUUCUUGAACUUCAUUCUAGUUGGUACAUGACGUUCUCGUGUAGACUUUCGAAGAGGUACUUGUACAACCUGUUCACCUUGUAUUGGAUUUCGUUGUUGCUCAAUUUGGUUUGGAACUGGUUCAAUAACCUGUUCUUGAACUUCAUUUAGUUCUUGAACUUCAACCGUUGAAGAUGACAAUUUCCUUGGCAACUUCAAAACAU
rnacentral:lncRNA from 1 species